UACGGGGGGGUGAAGCGUUGUUUGGAAUUACUGGGCGUAAAGGGCUCGUAGGCGCCAACUAAGUCGGACGUGAAAUCCCUCAGCUUAACUGGGGAACUGCGUCCGAUACUGUUUGGCUUGAGACCGGAAGAGGUUAGUGGAACUGCGAGUGUAGAGGUGAAAUUCGUAGAUAUUCGCAAGAACACCAGUGGCGAAGGCGGCUGACUGGUCCGGUUCUGACGCUGAGGCGCGAAAGCGUGGGGAGCAAACAGG
rnacentral:rRNA from 1 species